rnacentral:lncRNA from 1 species
AAAAUAAUAAUCACCAAUAAGGUAUCUCUCAAUCAUUUUUUUUUCAGAAAUUACUAACUAACCUAAACUACUAUCUAAUCUAAAACUAAUAUAAGAGAGUUGUUUUGUUUUUCCACCCCCUGACUCCCCCACCCCUCGCUGUGACCUGUUUUUUUGGGCUUUUAAUUUUUAAAAACCGUUCAUUCUUCUUCCUCAAAUUACAAUUUUGCCUUCACUAUUUAUUUCUUUUUAUACCCCUUUAUAUUCUUUUUUUAUUUCACUUUACUACUGAAUUUUUAGUAUAUAAAAAAAUUAAUGAUAAAAGUUUAUAACCCCCUUUAUUUUGUUUUAAUCCCUUUAAUUUUAUUUUUUUAUUUUUACCUUUCACUUCUAAAUUUUUAUAACGACCCUUUAUUUUAUAACUUUUUUUAUUCUCCACCUUAUGUUUUUAAUAUUUUUAAUAUUUUUUAAAAAUUUUGAUGGAUUGAUAUUUAUAUGUGUAUUUGUAUUUGUAGACUAUCCCUUGAAUAUAGAAUAUCUUUUUUAAGUAGUUUGAUUUUAUCAUAAAAAUACCUCAAAAAUAAUAAUUUUUUAACGUAUCAUACAGUAGUAAAUUCAACAUUACAUAAGAGUCAAAACAUAACUUUUCAUCAAUAUAUCAUCCAAAAGAAUUAAUAUUUUUUAUAUAUAAAAAUUCGAAGUGAAAGUAAAAAGAACAAAUAAAAAUAAGGGGUAUUAAAAUAAAAGAAAAGAAGGGAUUAUAAAAAUUUUAUAUUAAAAAUUAUAUAAACAUUCAAAGUGAGUAAAAAAAAUAAAAAUCAAGUGUAAAAACUAACCAAAACCAAUAAUGGGUUUAAAAAAUAUAAAGGGUUUAAUGUGAAAAUGAUAGGGGGGGGGAUGAGGAGAGAGCGUUGAGAGUUAUGAUUGAUAGCAACUGAAGUGCGGGCAGAGAGAGAGUGAAGUGACAUUUUUGGGCGGAAAAAAUAAUUUGAGGUGAAAUUCUGAGCCGUGGAUCAACUCAAAUUGAUUUCAUUCAGCCGUAGAUUAUCGAGAGAUAGAUUGAAUUCAAAUGUAGUUGUGAUUUGAUUAAUAGAUUAUAGCUGUGGAGGAUUUUGGGAGAGGGUGUUGUGUCAGUGGCCACAUCAUGGCUCACCAAUUACCAAUGUAAUUAGAGGCCUUUCCGCUUACAAGCCCAUGUAACUCUAAGGCUAAUGUUUGUGUUUGGUGAGAUAGGCCCGACUGGACAAGCGAUCCAGUUCAGUUCAGCUUUUGUUUGGCAAAAAUAACUCCGGACUAUAGUCUGACGACGACUAAUAGUCUGUAUAGGUGGGACUUUUCUGUCCGGGGGUGGGGUGGGCGAACCUUGUCCCCGGACUAACCUAAGUCGUACUAAUAUAUAAAAUUACUAAUUUGGCCCUUACACAUUGAAUAUUUUCCCCCUCGCUCUCCCUUCUCUCUCUCCCCUCUCCUCGCCUCUCCUCUUUCUUUUUUUUAUAUUUGUUUUUUUUUAUUUAGUUUUUUUAAUAAUUAUUUGUUUAUUUUUUUUAUUCAAUUAAUUUUUUAUCCUGUCUUUGGAUACACCAUUUUUUUUUUGAAAAAUUAACCAUUUUCUAAAAAAUAUUUAAUCGACAAAUAAAAUAUUAAACAAAUAAUUUUGAAAUAUAUAUUUUAUGUACGACAAUUUUUAAAAAAUAUAACAAUUUUUCUUUUAUGAAAAAUUAAGUUAUUGUUUUUUAAAAAAAAUGUUCUUUUUUUCCCCCUCCUCUUUUUUCUCACCUUCUUUUUCUUCCCCCUUCCCUCCACCCCUUCUCCUUUUUCCCCCCCCUCUCUUUUCCGCCCCGGUUUCCUUUUUCCCCCGCCCCCACUUGUUUUCUCUCUACUCCCCCCUCCCUUGCCGGGGUAUGUUGCUCUUUCCUCAUUUGUCUAGUCCGAUUGCUUAGCAAAUCCCCAUGGGACAAGACUGAACUACCCACUUAUCCAGGUUUUGUCCGGAUCAAACACAACACGGUUACCGAUAUAUAAUCGGGGCAAGUAGUCCGACACGAUCCAGCCCAGUCCAUUCCGGAGGCUAUUAGUCCGGAGACUCCUGUCCAUUCCGGCAAACAAAUGAGCCUAAUAGAUCAACCCUAGAUCAGGAUCAGUAGGCUUUGUGAUUGUAUUCAAGUUAUUUAUUAACAAUCUGUAAUUAAAAUAAAAUAUAUUGUUUGAUUUUUUGUACUAAAAAUGGGGACUGUCUCCACGGUGAUGUUUGUGGAAAAAAUGGCACCCUCUUGUAUAAAUGGUUAAUUAUAGUUGCUAAAGAGAGACUGAUAACUAUUGAAAUAUUCAUAGUUUGCCCUCCAAUAUACUUUUAUUAGUUCAUUAUUUUUGUUACUUGAUGCUUUUUAUGUCAUUUUCAUGUUUGUAGGUCUUGGAAUGAGGUUUGCAGCUUUUUAAGGUAAUUUGGAAAGCUUAAAAGGCCGAGAUGAGACCGAAGUAUUAGAGUUUGGGGUCAAAUUGUUAAAAGAUACAAAAGUUUAGC